CGUGGAAUCUGCCCUUGGGUGCGGAAUAGCUUUCCGAAAGGAAUGCUAAUACCGCAUAAUGUCGUAAGACCAAAGAUUUAUCGCCCAGGGAUGAGCCCGCGUAAGAUUAACUAGUUGGGGGGGUAAAAGCCUACCAAGGCGACGAUCUUUAGCUGGGCUGAGAGGAUGAUCAGCCACACUGGGACUGAGACACGGCCCAGACUCCUACGGGAGGCGACUGUGGGGAAUAUUGGACUAUGGGCGAAUGCCUGAUCCAGCAAUGCCGCGAGAGUGAUGAAGGCCCUAGGGUUGUAAAGCUCUUUUACCGCGGAUGAUAAUGACAUUACCUGGAGAAUAAGCUCCGGCUAACUUCGAGCCACCUGCCGCGGCAGUACCAGGGGAGCUAGCGCUGAUCGGAAUUACUGGGCGUAAAGCGCGCGUAGGCGGUUUUUUAAGUCAGAGGUGAAAGCCCGGGGUCUCAACCCCGGAAUUGCCUUUGAAACUGGAAAACUCCAAUCUUGUACAGGUCAGUGGAAUUCCUACUGCAGAGGUGAAAUUCCUAAAUAUUCAGAACAACACCUGUGGCGAACGCGACUGACUGGACCAGUAUUGACGCUGACGUGCGAAACCGUGGGGAGCACACAGGAUUAUAUACCCUGGUACUCCACGCGCUAUACGAUGAUAACUAGCUGACCUGGCUCAUAGAACUUGUGUGGCGCUGCUGACGCAUUAAGUAUCCGCCUGGUGAGUACGGNCUCAGAUUACACUCAANGGAAUUGACGGCGGCCUGNNCANGCGGAGGAGCAUGUGGUUGAUUCGACGCANCGCGNACAACCUUACNGCGUAUGACUCCUGAUCGCNAUUANACAGAUCUUUCCAUCACUCUGCUNAUCAGUGACAGCGCUGCAUNGUGNCGACAU
rnacentral:rRNA from 1 species